UACGUAGGGUGCAAGCGUUGUCCGGAAUUAUUGGGCGUAAAGAGCUCGUAGGUGGCCUGUCGCGUCGGCUGUGAAAACUCGGGGCUCAACUCCGAGCUUGCAGUCGAUACGGGCAGGCUAGAGUUCGGCAGGGGGAGACUGGAAUUCCUGGUGUAGCGGUGAAAUGCGCAGAUAUCAGGAGGAGCACCGGUGGCGAAGGCGGGUCCCUGGGCCGAUACUGACACUGAGGAGCGAAAGCGUGGGGAGCGAACAGG
rnacentral:rRNA from 1 species